CAUCACUCCCUGUGGUGUUCUGAUCCAUCCAGCUAGUUUACGAGUCCACACAGUGAGCAGCUGUUCACCACUGUGGGAAACACAGUCCAUUCCAGGGUCAUGUUUUUAUCUCUUUCCUUGUUUCAACAGAGAGAAAUGACCAGACAGAGCAGGAGGAGAGGAGAGAAAUCAAACAGCGUUUAAACAGAAAGCUGAACCAGCGGCCGACGGUGGACGAACUGCGGGACAGAAAGAUCCUGAUCCGCUUCAGUGACUACGUGGAAGUGGCCAAAGCUCAGGACUAUGACAGGCGAGCUGACAAACCCUGGACCAGACUGUCAGCCGCUGAUAAGGCGGCGAUACGAAAGGAGCUGAACGAGUUUAAAAGUCAUGAGAUGGAAGUUCACUCUUUGAGCAAACAUCUGACGAGGUUCCACCGGCCUUAGCAAGGUUUCUUCUGUGAAGAGUUGCUGAAACCUGGUUCUGUCAGUGAAGACCUGGACCCUGGCCCACAGUCAGUGGGUGUCCUGAUAUCAGGGUCCCAGUCACCCUUGGAGGCUAUGUCUCUGGAAACUGAGCCACCAGUGGACAUGUAGUGAGCUCCACUUCUGCUCAGAGGAAUCAUGACUCUCACUUCACCCUGUCACAGAAGAGCAGCGACGUCGUUCCUUUUUUUUGUUUUCUUUUGUUUUUUGAAAGAUUUUUUUUUUGUGCAUGUGACGGUCGACCAGUGCCACUCCGAUGAUGAAUUCAUUUCAUAUCAACAGUGUAAACGUUCUUCAAACAGAAAUCACUUUGUAUUUACUGUCUGCACAAUACACGUGUUCAGUUUGUAACAAA